AGUAGCCGCGGUAAUACGGAGGGUGCAAGCGUUAAUCGGAAUUACUGGGCGUAAAGCGCACGCAGGCGGUUUGUUAAGUCAGAUGUGAAAUCCCCGAGCUUAACUUGGGAACUGCAUUUGAAACUGGCAAGCUAGAGUCUUGUAGAGGGGGGUAGAAUUCCAGGUGUAGCGGUGAAAUGCGUAGAGAUCUGGAGGAAUACCGGUGGCGGAGGCGGCCCCCUGGACAAAGACUGACGCUCAGGUGCGAAAGCGUGGGGAGCAAACAGGAUUAGAGACCCGUGUAGUCCCUGUCUCUUAUACA
rnacentral:rRNA from 1 species